rnacentral:rRNA from 1 species
GUGGGGAAUCUUCCGCAAUGGACGAAAGUCUGACGGAGCAACGCCGCGUGAGUGAAGAAGGUUUUCGGAUCGUAAAGCUCUUUCGUUAGGGACGAACGUGCUCUUUGUAAAUAAUGAGGAGUAAUGACGGUACCUAAAUAAGAAGCCACGGCUAACUACGUGCCAGCAGCCGCGGUAAUACGUAGGUGGCAAGCGUUGUCCGGAAUUAUUGGGCGUAAAGCGCGCGCAGGCGGGAUAUCAAGUCUGUCUUAAAAGUGCGAGGCUCAACCUCGUGAGGGGACAGAAACUGGUAUUCUUGAGUGUCGGAGAGGAAAGUGGAAUUCCAAGUGUAGCGGUGAAAUGCGUAGAGAUUUGGAAGAACACCAGUGGCGAAGGCGACUUUCUGGACGAUGUCUGACGCUGAGGCGCGAAAGCUAGGGGAGCGAACGGGAUUAGAAACCCGAGUAGUCC